GGAGUGCCAUCCUGGUAACCGGCCAUCACAACAUUGCGGACACAUGAGGAAAGAUCCUGCGCGUAUUUCGAGAAAAGCGGCAAACGAACUGAUAAACAUUUGAUUCUUUCUAUGACCUCUACGCGCUCGGCAGAGGCGAGAAAAAGAAGAUACGGUACCAGCUUUAUAUAAUUCGAAGAAUUCUCGACUCGGGUGGAAGAUGGAUGCAACCUGAAAACCAACAAGUCACACUUUGGAAUCGUCGAAAAGGGGGGAAAAAGGUGUUAGCCUGUAGUAAAUCACAAGAGACUGAGGCAUGCCAAGGAAGGAAGCUCACUGCCGCCGUUGACGACAACGCCGAUGAAUAUUUAAUCGAGCUCCAGCACAGAAACAGGAUCCUGAAUCGCCUCAAAGCCAAAGGCCCCAGAGACAUCGAAUUGGAAAGACUUGAACAAGGCUUUUCCAUUUACUUCAACGGAGCCAAUGCCGAGUCCUGCAAGAGGCAGCGCAAGAGCACGAACCACAAGCCUGUCACCUCCACGCCCUUUUGGAGGACUCCGGGUUCAGCAGCAGAUGUCUGUCGACGCGCCCACCAGCUAAGUGAAGAUUUGGAGCCCGGCCACAAGCGCCGGAGCCACACCGCCCCCGGAAAGGUCCAGAGGAAAGAAUGGACACAGGAGUCCGUCAUAAUCCGAACAGAGGAUGGAUCGAAUUUGAAGAUAUGCCCGGAAAAGCGCUACUGUGAUGAUUUUGAGCCUUAUGAAAGUGUAGACAUGGAGAGCUCCGGCCCACACUCGCCUGGCGCUCCCUGCUCGCCGAGGGACAGCUGUGCGCUUUCACGCUCCUUCAGCUCCAGGCCCCACAAUCAAGCGGGACAAGCGAGCGAGGAGCACAGCGAAAAGGUGCUUCUCAAUCUCGAGGAAGUGAAGGUUUUACGGCGCAGCCUGGAGAACAACAUGCGGCGGAGCAGCCGCGGCUCGGCGGGGGAGGAGUCCGACGAAGAGUGGGUGGAGGAGCAAAUUGAGCGCGACGUGAGCACCGAGAGUCUCGACGAACUGGGACUUCCCCUGUCAUCCUCCAAGUCUUCCUCCAGCCCUCGGCCCAGCAGUUCACACCAUUUUGACCCAGCAAAGCUUAUUGUCCUCGACUUUGGACCGGCACCUAAAGGUCGUAAGGUUGAGCGCUCCUUGUCUGCAAAGCGGAAGGAAAACAGUGACUCCGUCCUACCCGCCAAGCCACUGCUGGUCAAGAGCAAAACAAUAGACAUGCCGCCUUCAAAAGACGGCUGGGGCAGUCCGAGUCCGGCAAGUCAGGCUGAGAGGCCCCUGUCAACAGCCAGGAGGGCUUUCACUGUGGAGCAGGACCCAGACGAGGUGGCCCGUGGGGUGUGCGACGCCAUCCAGAGGGAGAAUAAGAGUCCGGAGCUUUUCCCUUGCAACGUGGGCGGAGGGCAGCAGAUGAUGAACGGCUUAAUGCAUCGUAACGGCAGCGAAAAAGAGGACAGCAGUGUCACUGUGGCCAUGCAGAGAAUCACACUCAUGGGCUCCCGGGAACGCCACAAACUGCUGAAAGCCUUGGAGGAGCUGGAAGCUGCACCCACCUUCAACAUUCCUCAGGGUGCCAAAAGCGACUGCAGCAAACCGCCGCCGAGGCGCUCGUCCGAGGUCCCCCCUGCCGUGUAUGUCACAAUGGAGCUCCUGUCCAACUGGGGGCACGGGCUGCUGGUGGGCCUAACCGAGUUGCAGUUUUUCGGACCGGGAAACAAGAAGCUGUACGUGUCGCCGCACGACCUUGACAUCAGGAACGCUGACUAUCCGGGGAAUCUGCCGGUGCUCGUCAACGGCAGGGCCAAGACGACCAAGGAGCGCCACAUGUGGACGUGUCCCUUCCACCCUCCCAUCCAGCUCUACUUCAUCAUCCGGAACACGGAGCGCUCGGCAGACUUUGGAAUAUCGCGCAUUAAAAUCUGGAACUACAACAGAAGCCUCAACGAACUUGACAUCGGUGCACGCCAUGUAAAGCUGUACCUCAACAGCACGCUGGUGUUUGAAGGCGAGCUGGAGCGGGGCUGCGGCAAUCAGGUCUUCGACUACAGCAACACCAUCGAGCUCCAGGACUUCCAAGAUUCGGAUUCCUUGUUUUCCAGCCCGUCAUCUUCGGGAAACAAUCUCCGGGGGGCCAGCCCCCAGCGACACGAUGACGGCGGCGCGCACCAGCACCUCACUUCUGCCCUGCCGUCAUCGGAUGCGUCAAGCCAAGCCACGAUGAACGCUCAGGAGAGCUCGCACGCCCCUCUUCCACCCAUCGCCGCUCGGCGCUCCUCCGCGCAAAGAAACUCUUUUGAGGAGGCCGCCCCCAUGGCGCAGACGGUCACCGUGCAGCCGCCCUCCUCGCGGAUGACCCCCCAGUGGCUGCAGCCCCUGAAGAGAGCCGCCCCGGAGGGCUGCGAGGCCGGCAGGGAGCGGCCGCGCUGGCUGGUGCCCCAGCCGGCGCCCGCCGGCGAGCCCAAAUCGCCAUCCUCUGCCUCGUCGUCGUCGUUGCUCCCGGAGCUGCCGUGUAACCCCGGUCGGGUGUGCAGGGGAGGGGAGAGGGCGCCCAACGGGGCACAGCGGAAGGCCGAAUCUCUGGACCUCAGCUGCGACCUGCUCGACGAGCUCGGAGAGCAGAAGCAUGAGCGGCCCUUCAGUGGACGAAGGAGCUCCUUAAGGAAUAGGCAGACGGAGGAAAUCAAACACAUGAAAUCAAAUCCAGAGGCGACCGUGUCAGUCAGCGCCAGCAGGAGGCAGCGGACCCCGAGGCCAUUGGGGCACAGCCACCGGGACGACACCCUCAUGGAAUCGUGGGACUCCCUCACCAAGUUCAACCAGUGCCAACGAGGCCGCAUCUCCAACAUGGGCUUCGAAGGCGACAUAUUUGACGACUUCCAGCAGCAGCAGCAGCAGCACGGCCGCGGCUCCCCCGCGGCCCCCGUCAGCCCCUCGGCCGGCCCGCCUUGCUCAGCCUCGGCCGCCCGGGGGCUGCCGUACGAGGGCCCGGACGGGGAUUCUUUAAUGGAGCAGGAGGAAGAGUUUGAAAUCCCGGUGCUCCCCAAGGGCCAAAGGUUGCUCAUCAACAUUCGCUCCACCUGGGGGGACCGCCACUACGUGGGCCUCAACGGCCUGGAAGUGUUCAGCUCCAGCGGAGAGCCCGUCCGACCCGCUCACAUCAGCGCCGACCCCCCCGACAUCAACAUCCUGCCCGCGUACGGCAAGGACCCCCGCGUGGUCACCAACCUGACGGACGGUGUUCAUCGCACGCAGGAUGACAUGCAUCUCUGGCUCGCCCCGUUCACGCCGGGUCGGAGCCACACCAUCUUUCUGGACUUCGGACACGCCUACCACGUCGCCAUGAUACGUGUGUGGAAUUACAACAAGUCGCGCAUCCACUCCUUUCGGGGAGUCAAGGAGGUGGAGAUGAUGCUCGAUGGGAGGUGCAUCUUCAGGGGCGAGAUUGCCAAAGCUUCCGGGACUCUUUCGGGAGGGCUGGAUCAAUUCGGGGACACUAUUCUGUUCACGACCGACGAUGACAUCCUGGAGGCCAUGUCCCGUUUUGACGAAACCUUCCUCGGUGACAGCCAAGGAUCGGAGAAUCCGGUGCAUGAGGAGGAGCUGCGUAGGCCGCGCACUGCAGACGGCGAGGGAGAGGAAAGACCUUUCACGCAGGCCGGCUUCCGAGAGGAGGACCUCACCUUGAAACUUCACCUCAACGCCGGCGCGAGCCAGUUGGAGAACAUGGAGCAGAUUCCUGGGACGUACACUGGAAAGUGCCUCCGUCUGGAGCUGGCAUCCACAUGGGGCGAUUCGCACCACAUGGGCCUGACGGGACUGGAGGUGGUCGGGAAAGAUGGGGAGGCCUUACCUUUGGAACUCGGUGUCAUGGCCGCCUCAGCCGGGGGCCUUCAUGAUCUGCCCCGAUACGAACAUGACCCGCGCACCCUCGAUAAACUCAUCGAUGGCCACAACAUCACCACAGAUGAGCGACACAUGUGGCUAAUCCCUUUUUCCUACGGAGAGCCUCACACAGUGAGCAUCGCCUUCCCCCAGGCGCAGACGGUCGCCGGGCUCCGCAUCUGGAACUACAACAAGUCGGCCGAGGACUCGUACAGUGGGGUGAAGGUGAUCCACGUGAUCAUGGACGACGUGGCCGUCUCCCCGGUGGAGGGCUUCCUUAUCAGGAAAGGCCCGGGCAAUUGUCACUUUGACUUUGCCCAAGAGAUCCUCUUCGUGGACUACCUCCAGACGCCCGCCGACGGCAAGAGUGCUGAGGAGCACCCCAACAAGUACAAACACGUCCGCGCGUCUCCGCGUUCUGGUGGGUGCGGUGCCUUUACGCCAUGCGCUUGUGUCCACUUCAGGCGAGGCGCAAAGAAAGCCGAACAAGCCAGCAUGGAUUACGAAGCUCCCAUCAUGCCUUGUGGAUUCAUCUUUCAGCUGCAGCUGUUAACCACCUGGGGAGACUCUUACUACAUCGGCCUCAACGGCCUCGAGUUCUACAACCAGAAUCAUGAAAAGAUCAGCCUCAGUGACAAUAACAUCGCCGCUUUCCCAGACAGCGUCAACGUACUUGACAACGUGAGCGGCGACGUGAGGACUCCAGAUAAAUUAAUAGACGGCGUCAACAGCACGCAGGAUGGAAGACACAUGUGGCUGGCUCCAGUGCUCCCGGGACUGGUGAACCGCGUGUACGUCAUCUUUGAUCAGCCGGUGACCGUAUCCAUGAUUAAACUGUGGAACUACUCCAAGACCCCGCAGAGAGGAGUUAAGGAAUUUGGGCUGCUCGUGGAUGACCUCCUGGUCUACAACGGCAUCCUGGACAGCGUGAGCCACGUGAGCCGCGGCAUUCUGCCCACGUGCGAAGUGGUGGUGCCGUACCACACCAUCCUUUUCACCGACAACGCGUACAUUGCACACCGCGAAAGGAACACCGUCAUCAGUAACUACGUGGAGGACCAAGAUGUGAAGAUGACCAAUGAGAAUCAGAUCGUCCAUCACAACAAGAAGAAGCAGGCCGCAGACCCAGCUCUUCGGCCUAAAACCUGCAUGACUGACGUUGGCAAGCACGGACAGAGGAGGUACUGAUUUAUGGCUCACUUUUAUGCCUCCGGUGGGUGCAAGCGCCUCUCUCUCUCGCUCCCUUUUUUUAUUUUAUGAACACUCCACGUGAUGUGCAUAAGCCGCACUGAAGAGGACACGUUUUGCACUGAUCACAACGGUUUUGUGCUACACACACACACACACACCUUUCGUGUAUUCCACUUUCUGGUUGGAUUACUUCCAUCCCUUCUCUACAAACGGAGUCAGCGGCUCCCUCGUUGCCAGGCUAAAUAAAUCCGUCAGGCUGCUUUCUGCCAGCCUUAUUAUGAAUGUGCCUGUACUCUGCCUGUGCCGUUUCGAUACAUCAAGUCGAAUCAAAAGCCAGUCCGCUCUCACUCACUUUCUACAUCCGCUGAUUAUUCACCAUUGAAUCCACUGAUAGCCUGGUUCUUUGCUCAUCCAAUGUAAUGCUAUGCACACAAUUGUUGGUAGCUAAUGGUCGUUUACAAACGUGGGCUCUUUUGAUCGGCUAUGAGCAUUUGCGUAACACCAAGCUGAUGUAAAAAUGUAAAUUGAAGAGGGGUCACUAUUUGAGGAAAUACCUUCAAAGCAGCUUUGUCGUGUAUUUAGCCAAAUGCUAGCUUGAGCUUGACAUCAUGUCGAAGAGGAGUUGGGAAAUCAAGUGACCUUUACCAAAGUUGCGAUCCAAGCGGAUCACUUGACGCAAGUCAUUUGGUCAGCUCCGUUUAUAUUCGCACGCUUGGAUUUUGAGUCGGCGCCAUUAACGGAAGACUUCCAAUAUGCAGAAACCGCUGACUUUUACCUCAAAUUCCGGGAUUAACGAUCACACCGGGGGACGCAAUCACUUUGUCUCGUACGCUACAUUUCGAUUCAUUGCGACGGUCACGUGAGGAAAGUCUCACAAGCUGCAUUUGAGUAAAUAAGCCACAAGUUGAAUAAGUCCUCGUGUAUAAAAUGUCUUUCAUUUGCGUAUGUGUGACGUCAGAACUCGGCACCGGGUGACGAUUAUUGUAUGUGUGCAAUUGAGUGUUUGGGGGGACAAUUUAUUUUUCUAAUUUUGACGCUGUAUAUUACAUGUAGACUUGUUUCAAAGACAAAUAAAUUGUAUAUAUGUGUACUGUAUGUCAUUUUGUUUCCUCCCCCAGGUGUUGAAUCUACUUUGCGUUACCCUGUCAUGGGCAUUCACGUUAUGUUAGCAUAAAGCCAAAUGUCAAACGAUCCAUUACGCUACUAUCAAUGUAAAGUGUGAGCCCAGCAAUGAAGUUUACCAUGAUGUGUUAGCAGUAAGCUAGCGGGAGUACUCUAAAGUACUCCGAAGGCACUCUGGAAUACUGCCUGGCACGAAAGACAAAGAGACGAGUAUUUGAGAUAAAUAUAGAAUGUAUUUAUUAAGGCUCUGCUCUACAUUUUUAAUGGUGAUUGUAAGGAAUGCGCAUUUCGAGUCAGUAAAGUUGUUGAUGGAGCAACACGCGCCCCAAGCACUUAGCUGUUAAUCACAUUCUCGUCCGUGUUGACGGUGGCCGUUAGAUUUUUCCGGGGAACGUCCCCUCCGCUCUCUGCUCGUCCCACUUCUGGAUCUAGUAGACGUGAUGUCAAAUCAAAAGCAUGGUUUUGCAAAAGCAGUUUCAUGUAAGCAAUGGAUUGAUGUUCUUUACCCAAGACAUGGGGCAGAGCGACUUGUAGACCCUCCGGUACCACUCGCAUGGGCCGUUGUCCGCGCCUUUUGCAUCCAGAGCUUUCUGGCAGCGAUGGUAAUCUAUUAAUAGCCAUUCGACAAGAACAUACAACACCUAUUAGCUUGUCUAGUCAUAGACCGAUGACAACAAUACAAUUGUUAUUCAAGUCCGGUGAUCUUAGGACAGGUUGGAGGGGAAAGAGCUUAAUUAGCACGUGAUUAAAGAGACCAACAGCCCGUCUCGUGAUGUAGUUUCAAUGCAGAGAGUUGGCAAAAAAGAUCAAAUAUUUCAAGUGAGCCGGAAGCCUUACCGAGAUAGUUGGACCAGCAGUUCUUGGUCUGGUUCUGGUUGGGGAACCUGGCAUCAAAUGGAGCGGUCCGAUAGUUCUCCAGUUUGGCCUUUAUGUCCUCAGCCAUCGAAGUAAGAAUUACCUUAUGCUCGUAUCACUUGGAUGUCUGCUGACGUUUGUAGGCUCGGAAGUGCAAAGUGUAACGUUUCAGUGAUAAACGCCCCUGGGGGACGAUGAACAUCUCCUAAUGCGGAAGUAGUCUGACAAGUAAAUGAUUACAUUACAUCUGCCCGGUUUUAAAAGUGAUGUUUGGGCUUCGGUUUGUGCACUGCCCACUCAAGAGUACUCGAGAGGUGUUUCCACGUCAAACACGGUUUGCAGUGCACUUAAAUGCGGUACUAGAAUGCAAAUAGCUCCCGGUGAGUUAACGCCAUACUGUACGUUAUCAUUGGACUAUGAUCUGUAACUAAGAAGUACGUGACUGAAUCCAACGGACACAGCUCAUGCGCGUGAUAACCAGUUUGCCAACAGUUCCAGAUGUUUAAAAAUCAUUUUAAUAUUGAACAACUUGAAACUUAAAGGAAAAACCCAAGCUUGCCUUCAGAGCAACACAUUUUGAAUAUAUUAACAUAGGGCAAAAAUAAAAAUCUUACAAAUAGAAAUCCCCAAAAUACUAUAAAUCUGAUAAAGCGCCGCAACCAAUUUGCAAGAAUUCACUGCCUCGGCGAAUCUUGAAAAUAAAACCACACCGUGCAUCCUUGGAACAAGUGGCGGGGUAGUUCAAAUUGAAAUGUAAAAGCUUAAGGCUGUUCUAGUGGUAAAAUGUACAGCAGUUACCCCCACUAACCUUUACAGCACAGGUGUGAAACAAUUGCAUAGAUUUUCACAAGAGAUCUGAAGUGGAAAAGAAAAGAAUUGCAUCGUUGUGAGAAAGUGCAAGUUAAAAUACAGCAAAAGGUUCAGAUGGAUUUCUCAGCAGGCGGUGCGGUUGUCAGGGGAAAACAGCAGCUGUUUUGACAAAACACCAUCUAGAAUGGUUAGCCACACAGCUUAUAUAAUUGCCUCAAUCAUCAUUUCACUUCCCACAAAAUCAAAAAAUAAGAUUGACUUUGUUUUAAUUCUUUAUUUGCCCGUUUUCUGAAAACCUUGAAAAAAUGGCUGAGGCAAUCACGCUAUCCGGCUAACCAUGUAUUGUCGUCUAUGCAAAUGAA